AGAUGUUAAGUGGCACUAGUAGUGUUACAGUUCAUGAAGUUGUGAAAGACAAUGGUCAAGUAGUGGUUGCUAAAAAGAGUGCUUUGGAGACUCAGAGAGAAAUUACUGCGAUUUGGAAGAAGUUUGUGUUGGAUAGGAAGAAGCUGAAUGAUAAGAUGAAUGGUGUUUGCUAGAAUCAGCUUGGAAUGGAACAAGGGUGUGUCGUGUCUCUCUAUUUAUGCUUUUAUAGCUUCUUUUCUUGUUAAGGAAGUAAUUAAGUACAUUUUUAUUGAGUCAAGUCAUUUCUAUGAUUUUCAUGAUGAGUGGUUACAAGAAAAACAAAAUCAUGUUUAUACUUUAUAAGCAUGGCUUAAUUUAUUUAUGAAGAAUGAAUCAUUUAUCCUUUUGUGCAUUUUGUUCAAAUUAUGCUCAUAUCUUCUUUGUUUGCAAAACCAACAUAUACCACUGUCACUACACAUAAAUUAGAUUUGGAACAAUGAUAUAUGCUUAGUUCCAUGACUUUCCCAAGAUUAUCUGUAGCACUCAAUACCGGCAUCUUUCCUCAACAUGAUCUAGGCAAUUUCAUUUACAUAGAAAUGUUAAAUGUACUUCAUAAGCUAUGAACACUUGAGGUAUAGAUUGUAAAAACCCAAAACUUUUUCCAUCCAUUGGGCCUUAAAUUAUUUAUAUAGAAAUGUGCAUCAUAAGCUGCGAACACUUCAGGCUAAAGUGUAAAAACCCAAAACUUUUUCCGGCCAUUAAGUCUUAAUGGUCUGUUUAAUAGUCAGGAUAUGAAGACAUGAUAUGAUAAAAUACGAAAAAUAGAUAAACUAUUUAUUUGAACCUUGUAUGUUAUAUUGUCUGUUGUGUGGACUGUUUGGCAAUGUUGUUGAAUAUAAACACUUUAAACCGAAAUGAUGUCCAUAUAGGGAUGAAUAUAAACGUUUAUUUGAAGGGCAUGAUGAAAAUUUAAUUAAGGACAUCAUGACCUUCAAAUAAUCUAAGUGGAUAAAUAUGUUGAUCAAUGGUUUUUGUGACAAGUUAAUUAAGGGCAUCGUGAUCGUUAUUAACAUCUAAAGGUUGCUUAAUUAAAUGUGAGAUUAGUGUUAGUGGAUAUUGAUUUAUUAUAUAUCUAACGCGUUGUUGAUAUAGGAGGAGGCAAUAUUGGAUACUCACGUUCAAUCUUGUCCAUAAAAUUGACAAGAUAAAGAUUGUAUGUUCAACUUUUAUUAUUCCUGAAUCACUUUCAUGUUGAUUGGCAAUUAUUAUUUGUGAACUAUUUACUAAUCAUAUUAUUACAUGAAAAAUUAUUAUAUGCAUAUUUUUUUUGACAAAUUCAUUCAAAUUGAUAGAGUACAUCGAUAUAAUGCAAAUUUGCUAAAAAUAAAAAUGAUGAAUCUAUGAACAGGCUCACAACAUCCAUGUUAAUAGCAUAAAAUGACAAAAUACAAAUGCCUACACAUAUGACUAUAUUUAAAUCUCCAAAAUAAUCAUGUCUCCAGAUCUACAGCGUGGAUGACGCUAAAGCCAUUGAUUGGAUCUGCACUGGAUCAAAGCUGAUGACAAUCUGAACCGAUCAAAUACUUGAGAGAAACAAGAAAAACAAACAACGUCGCACAAAGACGACGAACAAACCAACGUCACACGAAGACGACGAAAUCACAAAAUAAAAAACAAAAUAGAUAUGAAAAUCACUUAUUUCAAUAAAAGGGAAAGAGAAAAACGAGUUAGAGGGAUGAUUUUGGCUAUUCUGCCACUGCUUCUCCUACUAUGCCAGUAAUAUACUCUAAACUCUAAAUUAUUUUCUUAAUCUUAGAUUAAUUGAAUUUAAUUGAGAUUUUAUGAUAAAGUUUAGUCUUAGAUUGAUCCUUCAGCAGAACACUAACUGAAAUGACAUCAAACUGUUAUAUUAUUGACUAAAUAAAAUAACUAAAUAAAAUAACUUUUUUCAAAAAGUUAAUUUCGUGACUGCAUCGUAGAAGUGCCAUUAGAAAAAUCCACCUUAUUCAAUCAAAGCAAUAUGUCUCGAGAUAUUUCCUACUCCGUAUUAUCAUCACUUACAAGAUAGAUCACAAUCACAACUAUACAAAUAUCAAAAUAGUAGAUACAAACUAUCACAUGCGGUUAAUUUACAAAUCAAAGCUCAAGAUCUCUCUCAAAGAAUACGAAUGAAAGUAUAGAGAAUUAAACGGAAAAAAUUAUUCUUACACAUUUAUUUGGUGUAUGAUCUUAUAAUUCAAAUGGAUUAUUUUUCUUUUUUUAGGAAAAGUUGCUUAUAGCAUUUUAUUAAAAUGAUCAAUAUCAAUAUCAAAAUAUAAAUAUAAAUAUGCAUAAAAACAACACUAUUUUCAUUUGAAACUUUUAACUAUAUAUGAUAACAACAUCACUUAAAAUUUGCAUCCGACCAUGGAGAUUUAGUUCUUUAGUCUAUACUAUUGUUCUUUAAAAACUAUUAAUAUGUGUUCAUUUUAAAUCACACCAUCAUUCACAUGAUAAACUAUUACUUUACGUAAUCAUAUUGACUUUAGGUAUAUGUAAUGAUCCUAAAUAGAGAAAGCCAUGUCAUCAAAUGAAGCUAGCAAAUUGGCAUAGCUGUAAGGACACGUGGGCAAGUAUUGGAUGAUAGAUGUACAUCAACAAGGAGUGAACAAGGCUUAUAUAAGGGAAAUAAGGCAUUGAAUAUGUUAAUGAAAUCCUUCUCUUAUUCUCUUUUCCCCUUUAUCCUUCUUUAUCUUUCAAUUUCACUUCUAUUAUGUACUUAAAAGAUUAUUGGGUUAAUAGGUCUUUAUCCCCUAUAAUAUAGGUCACUUUUGAUUUUGCCUUUGUAAAAAAAAAAAAUUCGAUUCGGUCCUUGCAAUUUUAUUUUUUUUUGGAAAACCCCCCUAGACCAGCUGACUGUGCAUUUUUGCUGAUAUGACAUGUUGUGUCAGCCUUUUUGGAUGACGUGGCGCGCUGACUGUAUAAUUAUUAUUAUUUUUUAAUUUUUUUAUGAGAUACACAUGGCAUUAAUGAUUAUUUUUAAAAAAGAAUAAAAAAAAUUCUUAAAAAAUUAAAAAAAACGAAAAAAUAUUAUAAAAAAAAUGAAAUAAAUUCUAGAAAAAUAAAAAUAUUAAUAAAAAUGAAAAAAAACGAAAAUAAUUAUGGAAAAAUUAAUAAAAAUCUGCUAAAUGAAAAAUAAUGAAAAAAUCUAGAAAAUUUCAUAAAAAAAUUCUGGAAUAAUUUAAAAAAUCUGGUAAAAUGAAAAAAAUAUAGAAAAUUUAAUAAAAUAAAAUCUGGAAAAAUUAAUAUAUUUCAAAAAAUUCAUAUUUUCAUAUUAUUUUCAAUAGAGGAAAAAUUUAAAAAUUAUGGAAAAAUAAAAAAAAUUCAUAUUUUUUUUUCCGAAAUUAAGAAGUUUUAUUUUAUAAAAAAACUAAAAAAUUCAGCAACUUAAAAUAUUUCAAAAUUUAAUCUAAUAAGAAUAGAAUUAAAAAUGAAAGUUCAAAUUUUUCUUUCGAAAUUAAAAAGUUUAUUUUUUUAUUUUUUAUACAGAAAAUCAAAAUAUUGGAGAGUAUAUUCAUAAUUAAAAAAACAUAACAUUAGAUCAUGAAGAAUAGAAUUUCGAUAUAUAUUAAUUUUUUUAUAUAAUUUUAAUUUAAUUCAGAUUUUUUUUAAUAAUUUUUUUGAAAAUUUUAAUAUAUAUUAAUUUUUUUUUAUUUUUCCAGAUUUUUUUUAUUAAAUUUUCUAGAUUUUACUAGAAUUUUUAAAUUUUUCCAGUUUUUUUUAUUUUUUCAUAAUUAUUUUCGUUUUUUAAUCAUUUUUAUUAAUAUUUUUAUUUUUCCAGAAUUUAUUUUAUUUUUAAAAAAAAUCAUAAAUGCCACUUGUACCCCAUAAAAAAAUAAAAAUAAUUAUACAGUCAGCGCGCCACUUCAUCCGAAAAAGGUGACGCAACAUGCCACAUCAGCAAAAAUGCACAGUCAGCUGGUCUAGGGGGGUUUUCCAAAACAAAAAAAUUUUACAAGGAUCGAAUCCAAAUUUUUUUUUUUACAGGAGGCAAAACCAAAAGUGACCUAUAUUACAGGGAGUAAAGGCCUAUUAACCCAGGAUUAUUUCUCUUGUGUUGCUUAGUUCUCUGAUCUAUUACAGUAUACAAGUUUUAUUUUAAAGUGGAAAAAUAGAUAAAUCACACUUUAGUGUAUAUCAUAAGAAAAAUUGUGAUUGGUUGGUUUAUAUAAUCAUGGAAAAAUCUACUAAAUUUAAGACAACACAUCAAAAUAAACAAUUAAUUUAAGACCUUCAUAAUUACUACAAUAGAUUUUUAUAAUUUUGUAGUGACGUGCUCGUUAUUUCAUAAUUUUUAAAGGCUAACAAAGCAUUCGAGGCUCUUUAAAAAAUUAAAAUGUAAGCAAAAUAAAAAUUAUAAGCGUGAAAAAAAUCAAAAGAGUAACAAUAUUAUUAUAUAAAUAAAAAAUUAUAGUCUUAGAAGUAAAACAAAAACUAUUUUAUACCUUAACAAUUAAAGCUAUUCAGAUAGACAAUAGAGUUAGAAAGAAAACAUGAUAUGCCUGAUAUACAAUAUCUUUAAAAUUACGACCAAAUUAGACGGUCUAAUUUUUUUUUUUGAAAGAAUCUAAAUAAUAUUUUUGUUUACUUAUUUGAUUGUAUUACCAUCAUAUUAGAGCACAAAGACAUAACUACAAUGUUAAAAAGAGAAAAUUCAAAUUAUUAGGUGUCAAUUCAAUAAUUAAAUGACAACUUAUGAAACACUCAUACAAGAUGUUUGUGCAUUCUCUUUCGUCUAAUACUAAAACAAUACUCAUGAGAGAAUAUAAUCUAUUGGAGCCUAUAUUUCAAUACACGUACAUCGAUUAUUUAUACACUUCGGUACAAGAAGAAUAGUUGGACACUUCACUGCUAUGCAAUCAUAAUCUAUUCUACAAAGUAACUUUGGUACAGCAAGACGUCGUGCUGUGAUGAAAUAAGAGACCAAAAGAAUGUAACUAAAUUGAGAUGAAGUGUUCUUUACAAAGUAAUUAGGGAAAUUUGAAAAGGAUAAAAAAUAAAUUACCUACAAUGUUUGUUGAAACAAAAAACAGGUAAACAAUAAAGAUAAUAACAUAUACUACAAACUUGGCAAUUUCACCCAUAUUCAUCCACCCUCCUUAUUCAUUUAACAAAUUGCUUUAUUACUUUAUAUAAUUUAUAAAGUUAAUCAUCUUCUUACAUCAAACAAAUAGUUUUUAGCGCUUUUGGAGUUGCAAAGAAAUAUAUCAUAAUAUUAAAAUCAUCAAUAAAUGUCUGUUAAAUACAUCAAUGUGAUAAGUUUUUUUCUUCUUCUUUUGCAUAUUUAAUAGAGCAGUCACAUAAAAAAUUUACCCGUCAUAAACUCUCAUUCUUUUUUAAACUAAUUUUUCAUUAUUAUUUUAUAGCCUAUCAUGACACGUAAAGGGAAAUCAUAAAAUAAUAAGUUAUUUGAUCAAUAACUAAUGCCAAAAUAAAAAAUAAUAAAAUGAAUCCACUUGAAUUAGCCUAGUGGUAUUAACUUGGGACCUUAGUGAGUACUCCUCCUCAAGGUCACAUGUUCGAUUCUCUUUAGUGUCAAUUUGGAUGGACUAAUUUAACUUCUUAAAACAAAUGUCAAAAUAAGUAUAUAUCGUCCAUAUUUCUGUUUGCAUCGAUAAAAAUAAUAAAAAAAGUGUAAAAUAAAAUUAUUUGAUCGAUAAAAAUGACAAAAAAUAUUAAGUAUUGAAAAAAAAACUAAAAUCCAACAUUUAGUAAGGAAAACACUUCAUUAGAGUUUAUAAACAGGGACAUCCAUCAUCUUACACAAAUCAACUUUGUAAAGAUGAGUUAGAUGAAGAAUUUUAAACAAAUAAUCAAAUUUAUAGAUAUGAAAUAUAGCAUGUUAUUAAUUAGUAUAUUGACAUAUAACCGUGUACCUUGUAUGGUUGAAGGAGAUCAUGAAGAAUUGGAAGUGACUUUUGAGAAUGGUUUUGAGAGCUCUUCUGCCGCCUUACUUAUCGAGCAUUCUUUCAGUUUACAGUGUGGCUAACAUAAUGGGAUAGUUAGCUUAUAUACUCAUCAGUGGAGACAGGGACCUCUCAAAUGGGCUGACUAACAAGAAUGGUCCAACCCAUCACGGUCCGUUCACAAUAAGCCCAAUAUAAAUACCAAGUACAAUAACAUUAAAUAUUUAAUAAUAUAUAAUACAUUUAUAUUUUAAUAAUUAAUUAAAGUAAAUUCAAAAUAUUCAACAUUAGAUUUAUAAAAAAACUAAUAUUUAGCGAAGAUUAAUAAUGAAAUAAGUUCAUGAAGAAUUUGAGAAAUACAAUGGUCAAGUAGUGUUUGGUAAAAAGAGUCUUUUGGAGACUCAGAGAGAAAUCAUUGCGAUUUGGAAGAAGUUUGUGUUGGAGAGGAAGAAAUUGAAUGAUAAGAUGAAUGGUGUUUGCUAGAAUUAGCUUGGAAUGGAACAAGGGUGUGCCGUGUCUCUCUAUUUAUGCUUUUAUAAUUUCUUUUCUUGUUAAGAAAGUAAUUAAAUACAUUUUUAUUGAGUCAAGUCAUUUCUAUGAUUCUCAUGAUGAGUGGUUACAAGAAAAACAAAAUCAUGUUUAUACUUUAU
rnacentral:lncRNA from 1 species